rnacentral:rRNA from 1 species
GACGAACCGUGCGAACGUUGUUCGGAAUCACUGGGCUUAAAGGGCGCGUAGGCGGGCGGCAAAGUCAGGGGUGAAAUCCUCCAGCUUAACUGGAGAAGUGCCUUUGAUACUGGUCGUCUUGAGGAAGGUAGGGGCAUGCGGAACUGAUGGUGGAGCGGUGAAAUGUGUUGAUAUCAUCAGGAACUCCGGUGGCGAAAGCGGAGUGCUGGACCUUUUCUGACGCUGAUACGCGAAAGCCAGGGGAGCAAACAGG